CGGUACCGACUGUUAAUACUUCAGGGAGCUGAUGAAUCCAGGAUGGAUAUUUUUGACGAUGUCACUCUAUCGGUAUUGGAGGCGGCCAGUGUUGAUGAGGAGGCUUUGAAAGGCCUUAGCCGGGAUGACCUGAGGGAUCUUUUUCCUGGCCCUGAACAUUUUUUCAGAAGAAAGAAACUUUGGGAUUUCAUCAGUCAAAAUUGUGAAAAUACCACGGACCAAGAUGCCAGCACUUGUAGUGGAAGUGGGAUUAUGCCCUCAACUAGUGCCAUGCCACCAUG